UAUUGCGCAAUGGAGGAAACUCUGACGCAGUGACGCCGCGUAUAGGAAGAAGGUUUUCGGAUUGUAAACUAUUGUCGUGAGGGAAGAAAUUGACAGUACCUCAGGAGGAAGCUCCGGCUAACUAUGUGCCAGCAGCCGCGGUAAUACAUAGGGAGCAAGCGUUAUCCGGAUUUAUUGGGUUUAAAGGGUGCGUAGGCGGAUUCUUAAGUCAGCGGUAAAAUGUCCGGGCUCAACCCGGGCCGGCCGUUGAAACUGGGGGUCUUGAGUGGGCGAGAAGUAUGCGGAAUGCGUGGUGUAGCGGUGAAAUGCAUAGAUAUCACGCAGAACUCCGAUUGCGAAGGCAGCAUACCGGCGCCCUACUGACGCUGAGGCACGAAAGCGUGGGGAUCGAACAGG
rnacentral:rRNA from 1 species